GGCCUCCUGGUGCCGACCACAGGCCGAAUUCUUACACUGAAGGGGCAGAAACAGGAGGCAGAAUAACCAACCCCAUACACCUCAGCUCAGGCCUGCUGUCCUUGGUCUGUGUUGUGAAUGGGGAGACAGUG
ensembl:snoRNA small nucleolar RNA SNORA51